AACGAACGCUGGCGGCAUGCCUAACACAUGCAAGUCGAACGUGAUCCAGGCUUCGGUCUGGUGAAAGUGGCAGACGGGUGAGUAACACGUGACUAACCUACCUUCGAGUGGGGGAUAACAUCGGGAAACCGAUGCUAAUACCGCAUAACAUCGCAAGAUCAAAGCAGCAAUGCGCUGGAAGAGGGGGUCGCGGCUGAUUAGCUAGUUGGCGGGGUAACGGCCCACCAAGGCGAAGAUCGGUAGCCGGCCUGAGAGGGCGCACGGCCACACUGGAACUGAAACACGGUCCAGACUCCUACGGGAGGCAGCAGCGGGGAAUUUUGCGCAAUGGGGGAAACCCUGACGCAGCAACGCCGCGUGGAGGAUAAGGCCCCUUGGGGUGUAAACUCCUUUCGACCAAGACGAUAAUGACGGUACUGGUGGAAGAAGCACCGGCUAACUCUGUGCCAGCAGCCGCGGUAAUACAGAGGGUGCGAGCGUUGUUCGGAAUUAUUGGGCGUAAAGGGUGCGUAGGCGGUGCCACAAGUCACUUGUGAAAUCCCCAGGCUUAACCUGGGGCCUGCAGGCGAAACUGUGGUGCUGGAGUAUGGGAGAGGUGCGUGGAAUUCCCGGUGUAGCGGUGAAAUGCGUAGAUAUCGGGAGGAACACCUGUGGCGAAAGCGGCGCACUGGACCAUAACUGACGCUGAUGCACGAAAGCUAGGGGAGCAAACAGGAUUAGAUACCCUGGUAGUCCUAGCCCUAAACGAUGAUUGCUUGGUGUAGCAGGUACCCAAUCCUGCUGUGCCGCAGCUAACGCGAUAAGCAAUCCGCCUGGGGAGUACGGUCGCAAGGCUG
rnacentral:rRNA from 1 species